rnacentral:rRNA from 1 species
ACGAACGCUGGCGGCAGGCCUAACACCUGCAAGUCGAGCGGACCUUUCGGGGUCAGCGGCGGACGGGUGAGUAACGCGUGGGAAUAUGCCCUUCUCUACGGAAUAGUCCUGGGAAACUGGGGGUAAUACCGUAUACGCCCUCUGGGGGAAAGAUUUAUCGGGGAAGGAUUAGCCCGCGUUGGAUUAGGUAGUUGGUGGGGUAAUGGCCUACCAAGCCGACGAUCCAUAGCUGGUUUGAGAGGAUGAUCAGCCACACUGGGACUGAGACACGGCCCAGACUCCUACGGGAGGCAGCAGUGGGGAAUCUUAGACAAUGGGGGCAACCCUGAUCUAGCCAUGCCGCGUGAGUGAUGAAGGCCUUAGGGUUGUAAAGCUCUUUCAGCUGGGAAGAUAAUGACGGUACCAGCAGAAGAAGCCCCGGCUAACUCCGUG